rnacentral:rRNA from 1 species
AUUGAACGCUGGCGGCAUGCUUUACACAUGCAAGUCGAACGGUAACAGGCCGCAAGGUGCUGACGAGUGGCGAACGGGUGAGUAGUGCAUCGGAACGUGCCCAGUCGUGGGGGAUAACGCAGCGAAAGCUGCGCUAAUACCGCACACGAUCUAUGGAUGAAAGCGGGGGACCGUAAGGCCUCGCGCGAUUGGAGCGGCCGAUGUCAGAUUAGGUAGUUGGUGAGGUAAAGGCUCACCAAGCCAACGAUCUGUAGCUGGUCUGAGAGGACGACCAGCCACACUGGGACUGAGACACGGCCCAGACUCCUACGGGAGGCAGCAGUGGGGAAUUUUGGACAAUGGGCGCAAGCCUGAUCCAGCAAUGCCGCGUGCAGGAAGAAGGCCUUCGGGUUGUAAACUGCUUUUGUACGGAACGAAACGGUCCGGGUUAAUACCCUGGGCUAAUGACGGUACCGUAAGAAUAAGCACCGGCUAACUACGUGCCAGCAGCCGCCGUAA